UACGGAGGGUGCAAGCGUUAUCCGGAUUCACUGGGUUUAAAGGGUGCGUAGGCGGGCUUGUAAGUCAGUGGUGAAAGCCCGGGGCUUAACUCCGGAACUGCCGUUGAUACUGCAAGCCUUGAGUACAGUUGAGGUGGGCGGAAUACAUCAUGUAGUGGUGAAAUACUUAGAUAUGAUGUAGAACACCGAUUGCGAAGGCAGCUCACUAAAGUGUAACUGACGCUGAGGCACGAAAGCGUGGGGAUCAAACAGG
rnacentral:rRNA from 1 species